CAGAAUUCUUAAAUUGCAAGUCAUCUCACCAUAACUAAUGUCCAAAUUUUGUAUCCCAUAUCCAUCCCUUUAACAGGACAAGGAAUUGAAGUCAGAGCAGCCUAGAGCACAUCUGGACAUCCACAAACAUCAAGAAACUCAAGCAAAACAAAUGCAAAAAGAUUCUGAAUUGGAAAGGCAUGCUUGUUUGUUUGCGAUGCAAUUAUACAAUGUUUCUGUCGAUUUGUUCGUGUGUUUGAGACAUGCCUGAGAUAUAAUCCAAUACAGAGAUCAAUCAGUUGAUGGAACAGAGCCAAACAAACAGCCUGUAAUGUCAUACAGUCUAAUCAUAUAACUGCAGGGGGGUUGAAUUGAAGUAUGUUCUCUGCAUCAGGAAUAGAGAAAAAACCAAGAAAACAAGAUUAUAACUCAGGUUGUACAAAUUUAUGCACGCUGGCAUGUUUGUCUGAUUGGUCGGUGUACAAGUCUUUUUGUUUUUAGAUUCAGGACAAACUGUUUCUGUCAUGUAAGCAUGUUUAUUGAGGGUAUGUUAUUAUUUUUGUAAUAUAGGCCCUGUAGCCACUUCUCCUUGGAUCUAACAAGCAUUCCUGGAUUACACCCAGAUAUAUACAUAUAUAUUCCUUGUUCCUCGGCAGAAUUUGUAACAAAUUCGCCCUUUUGUCUGCUCUAGAGCCUUGAUUUACUACAAGAUUCCUGAAUCAUCACAGCCAACAACAUGGUUUUUUGAGUCAAUGAAGCAAUCAGCUCUGAAUUGAUGAAGCAAUUACCUUUGUUUCAAUGGAGAAAUGGAUGAUUGUAUUGGCAGCAUCCCUGUCAGCUGCUAUAGUCAUAGCUUGUAUCCUUUGUAUGGCAUGUUAUAGGCAUCUUCGUCGGAAAUCAAAAUCAAAUUCACAGGAAACAUUGGAUGAAGCGAGAAGUAGAUACUAUGCAGGGCUCAAAACAUUAAGAGAGACAUCUACAUAUCCAAAUCCGAGUCACAACAACAGAGUUGCAAGUGUGUGGAGGAAUAGUUACAGUUAUAGUAAUCAUUAUCCUCUGCGGGUCUUUGAAUGGACUAAAAACCCAUCACUUAUUUCAGAGGUAGUUGAGUAUGGAUGGAUCACUUUUGGAUUCACAAAAACAUUUGCAAACUCUUCUCCUGGUAACAUGUAUGGUAUUUACAAUCGGUUUUCUCAUGGAGACGGGGUUGAACCUGAGAUCAGCUGGGAAAUGGGACAAGGGGUUGAUUACAUGCAGAAAAUUAGAUUGAAUCCAGGACUACCAAGUAAAAAAGACACAAAUGUGUUGCUACCAGUUCAAUCCGUACAGAGUGCAUUGCCUCUUCCAGGACCCCCAUUGGGGGCCCUAUCAUUUCCCCAAGAGGCUUAUUUUGAGAUUACAAUACUGGCAGAGAAUGGAGAAUAUGUUGGUAGUUUGGGUUCCUCUAGGAGAUAUCGAGAGGAUGAGGAUAUUCAACUUAUACCACAGUCAGUCAAUUCAGAGGACCAUUUCCAGCAUACAAACUCUGAGAAGACACCCACAAAUUUCAAUGGCAGUUAUAAAGGGCGUGUUGCAGCAAAAAAGAAUUCCAGAGGCAACUCUAAGGGCCUGGACAUUGGAUAUAUGGACACGCUUUUUCAGUUAAAUAGCAUGGAUCCUGAAAGCAUUCCUAAGGUCAUAUCUCUAGGGCUUGCGGUUGGUGGGACUGCUCUUUAUCGGUUACCAGGCUGUGAGCGAGGGUCUGUUGGAUUUCAUUCAACAGGAUUUGUCUUCUUAAACGGGGCGGCUUAUUUGGGUAAUGAACAAGAUCAACACAAACCAGCUUUUACAAAGCGAGUUUGGGAUGCUGUAAACACAGUCAUUGGAUGUGGUUAUGAUCCUGUAAAGAAGAGAGUCCUCUAUACAUUGAAUGGCGAUCAAGUUUAUUCUCUGAUCUGCAAUUCGGAUGUGUUCAGUCAUCCUCUGUACCCAACAAUUGCAGCCAACUAUGACGUGACUGUGUUGGCAAAUUUUGGACAGAGCCAGUUCGAGUACUUGCCUGCUAAUGAACAAAGAGUGGCUGAUCCAUGCUUCAAAAGGUCACGCCUGAAUAGUCCUGUAAAACUUUCAGUAUUGUCCCAUAAUGAAGACAGCGGUGAUCUUUUCUCAAUGAGAAUGGAUUCACCAUGGAUAGGAAAUGUUGAAUAUUCAAAUUCACAAGAUCUACAACUGAAGCACCUACCUUCUGAUGGCGAGUCUGACUUGUUUGAGAUCUCCCUCGAUAACAAAUAAAUUCAGAGAAUCUGUGAAUGAAACAGUAUUUUCUGCCAUGAUUUGGCAAUUGUGGCAGAAACUUCAGAAGAGUAGAUAGAAUUAUUGCUCACACAUGGAUUGCUUAUUGUUUUCAAUCUACUUGGAACUGGAAGAUUAUCCUUCAAGAUCUGAAUAUGGAGAAAACCAAGACUUCCAGAUCUUUCAGUCUAUCUCUCCAGUUGUUUACCGGUGCCUUAAAUGUGUUUCCUUCUUUAGAAAUCUUUCCUUUCUUUCAAUACACCUUUACCUGUUGGAUGGUAUUCUAUUCUAUAGUUAUUAAUGUCCUCCUACAGAGAAAGGAAUAAAAUUAAAUUGUAUAAAUUAAGCCUAAUAUGAGUAGGAAUCAUUCUUUGUUCUUUGAUAAAGAUUAAAAAGGGAAUUCAAAGGGCCUGUGCCCUUUUAAAAACAGUCCAAAAGGAAAUAGUACAGGUACUAUGAGAUAUGGCACUAACAGAAACAAACAACAGGAACUGCAACAACACAGCAGCAGAAUCACCUAAUUACUAUCUCCCAGCUUUUGGGGCGCACUGGCAACCUCCCCGAGCAGGAAUCUUUAUUAAUUCUCUGUCAUAGUGGAGAAGAUUUCAGCUCCCAACUGAGAAGAUCAUGCAACUUAUUGUUAGAUUUCUUCAGGGAAGCAGAACCAAAACAGUCUGAACCUUCAACAAGCUAUGUCUGGUUUCACUUCCUUGUAAACCAGUUCAUAAGGAAGUAAAAAUGAAGGAUGGUGACAGAAAAAUUGGAAGGAUUCCUCUUUUGGGAGCUCAAUCAGUGUUACUCCAUUUAUCAUACAGAAAGGAACAACAGUGUGCAAUCCAGGUGACGAGGAGAAUUUCAACAAAAGUAAAAAGCUUCAUGUCUUUUUUAUCAUUGCCAAAUUGGUCUGAUCUAUCCAGUGCUGCUUCAGAUUCAUCCACAAUGUGUUGAGGAUUUUUACAUUUGUAUCUAGCUUUGCUUAUUCUCACUGGAAGAUCAGGAAAUUGAUGAGCAUUGUAAUUUGAUUUUCCCUACUGGUUUCUGAAACAUAUAGAGAAGUUAUCACAUCUUGAACUACUAUGAUUGGUUUCAUACACUUUAGGAAGCUCUGGCAUGAUAGAAGUUUUAAAGGCUAGAGAAGACUCUGCAACUAGGAGUUGGCAUAUCUACUUGUGAAAAAAAUAUGAGAGAAAGCACCCAUAUGGAAAGCACUGAAUGGAAUGGUACUGUUUCUCUAUGAUUGGGAUUAAGAACACAGUAACAACAUUAUACGGAAUGUACAGAAGUAGGCGCAACGUAAGGCUGGUCGCAUAUAUCAAUUUGGUAUUCUGAACACUAAUGAAUGCUUGGUAAUGCAUAACACUUGCUGAAGAUUUCGCCAAUGGGAUGACAACCAAGUGGACUUAAUUGCCAAGACUAAGCAGAUGAAAUCAUAUCACAUGAUUUUGUGGACCUAAUUUAAGGAGUCAUUAUGCAAAUCUCAUUACACUAUCCAACUAAUAUUUUAGAUGCC